rnacentral:misc_RNA from 1 species
UCCGGUUUGUCACCGACCAAUUGAAGAGCUCCGUCUCCGGAGCCCCGAUCGGGAAGUCAAGGGCUGGUAAGGUUCUUCGCGUUGCCUCGAAUUAAACCACAUGCUCCACCGCUUGUGCGGGCCCCCGUCAAUUCCUUUGAGUUUUAGCCUUGCGGCCGUACUCCCCAGGCGGGGUGCUUAAUGCGUUAGCUUCGGCACGAGCGGAGUCGACACCGCUCACACCUAGCACCCAUCGUUUACGGCGUGGACUAC